rnacentral:lncRNA from 1 species
GUUACACUGUCAUGGGAACAACAGGUAAAGGUUCUAUUCCUUAGUGACAACAGGCUGCUUCAUUAUCUCUCCUUUUUAUGUUCUAAGGGCAAAAAUAUUCAGGGUCUGCAGGGUAAAAACUAUGGAAGCAUAAACAAGGAAAACCUGACUCUCCCUCACAACUGCAUGUCCUACUAAAAGGUAAAAGGACACUUUGGGGUUGUCUCGGGUGAAAACUGCUGGAAGGAAAAAGCCUGAGAAAGCCGCUGACAGCACCAGUGCUUUGCAUCUCUGGACAAAUUCCUUUCCCUCUAUCAAUACGUUUUAUUUUUUCACGGAGGGGAGGGGACUCAUUUUGCCAAGAAUUUAUUGUGCAUCGGUCUACCGUCGAAACCAGGAAUUAGCAGCUUUAACAAGUGCCACAAGUGAUCGGAUGCCGGUGGUCCCAGGACCACACCUCGAGAAAGCCCCGCAGAGAGAUGAGUGCAUGGAAAGAGCCAACUGAGAGGUGAAGCUUAAACAAAUGUGAGGCAGAAAAAUGUAUUAAUGCGGCACUAAUGAGAAGACGGAAUCAAACUCCCUGCAAAUACACACACACACACACACACACACACACACACACACACAC